UACGUAGGGUGCAAGCGUUGUCCGGAAUUAUUUGGGCGUAAAGAGCUCGUAGGCGGCUUGUCGCGUUCGGCUGUGAAAAACCUGGGGCUCAACCCCGGGCCUGCAGCCGAUACGGGGCAAGCUAGAAUUCGGUAGGGGAGACUGGAAUUCUGGUGUAGCGGUGAAAUGACGCAGAUAUCAGGAGGAACACCGAUGGCGAAGGCAGGUCUCUGGGCCACUACUGACGCUGAGAAAGCGAAAAGCAUGGGGGAGCGAAACAGG
rnacentral:rRNA from 1 species